GCCAGGGUAGCUCAGUUGGUUAGAGCAACGGAAUCAUAAUCCGUGGGUCGUGGGUUCGAGUCCCACCCUUGGUACCA
rnacentral:tRNA from 1 species